rnacentral:rRNA from 1 species
AGCGAACGCUGGCGGCAGGCUUAACACAUGCAAGUCGAGCGGGCCUUUCGGGGUCAGCGGCGGACGGGUGAGUAACGCGUGGGAACGUGCCCUCUGGUUCGGAAUAACUCAGGGAAACUUGAGCUAAUACCGGAUACGCCCUUUUGGGGAAAGGCUUGCUGCCGGAGGAUCGGCCCGCGUCUGAUUAGCUAGUUGGUGAGGUAACGGCUCACCAAGGCGACGAUCAGUAGCUGGUCUGAGAGGAUGAUCAGCCACACUGGGACUGAGACACGGCCCAGACUCGUACGCGAGGGAGCAGUGGGGAAUAUUAGACAAGGGGCGCAAGCGUGAUCCAGCCAUGCCGCGUGAGUGAUGAAGGGCUUAGGGUUGUAAAGCCGUUUUAUCCGGGACGAUAAUGACGGUACCGGAUGAAUAAGCCCCGGCUAACUUCGUG